UAGGGAAUCUUCGGCAAUGGGGGCAACCCUGACCGAGCAACGCCGCGUGAGUGAAGAAGGUUUUCGGAUCGUAAAGCUCUGUUGUAAGAGAAGAACGUGUGUGAGAGUGGAAAGUUCACACAGUGACGGUAACUUACCAGAAAGGGACGGCUAACUACGUGCCAGCAGCCGCGGUAAUACGUAGGGCGCGAGCGUUGUCCGGAAUUAUUGGGCGUAAAGGGCUUGUAGGCGGCUUGUUGCGCCUGCUGUGAAAACGCGGGGCUUAACUUCGCGCGUGCAGUGGGUACGGGCAGGCUUGAGUGUGGUAGGGGUGACUGGAAUUCCAGGUGUAGCGGUGGAAUGCGCAGAUAUCUGGAGGAACACCGAUGGCGAAGGCAGGUCACUGGGCCAUUACUGACGCUGAGGAGCGAAAGCAUGGGUAGCGAACAGG
rnacentral:rRNA from 1 species